UUUCUUGUCAUAAAAUGUGAAUUUUAUUUUACAUUAUUAUUGCUUACACUUUUGUUUUUCAGUCUGUGAAGUUAAUCAAGCAGUCUUAAGAGUUGGAGGCAGUGCUGGAUGAAAAAAAGGCAAAUGUAUUUCAGGUUGUGCUGCUGACGGCGCCCCCUUCCCCUGCAGGACUGCAGUUGCUGCUGCCUCGGGAGAGCGACCUGAUCCCUCACCCCAGCCACCAGAGA
rnacentral:lncRNA from 1 species